rnacentral:rRNA from 1 species
AUUGAACGCUGGCGGCAUGCCUUACACAUGCAAGUCGAACGGCAGCACGGGUGCUUGCACCUGGUGGCGAGUGGCGAACGGGUGAGUAGUGCAUCGGAACGUACCCGGAAGUGGGGGAUAACGUAGCGAACGUUACGCUAAUACCGCAUAUUCUGUGAGCAGGAAAGAGGGGGAUCGCAACAACUCUCGCUUUCGGUGCGGCCGAUGUCGGAUUAGCUAGUGGGCGGGGUCAGAGCCAACCAAGGCGACGAUCCGUAGCGGGUGUGAGAGGGUGGUCCCCCACGCUGGUAAUGAGACACGUCCCAGACUCGUACAGUGGGAAGCAGUGGGGAAUGUUGGACAAUGGGCGCAAGCCUGAUCCAGCCAUGCCGCGUGAGGGAAGAAGGCCUUCGGGUUGUAAAGCUCUUUCGGCUGGGAAGAAGUCGCAACUCCUAAUACGGGAUGUGGAUGACGGUACCAGCAUAAGAAGCACCGGCUAACUACGUGCCAGCCGCCGCAGUAACAC